GCUGAGUCCGCUCUGGAGUGAAAUAAAGCUUGGUUUUGCCUUUGCUGAGUGAAACAGAACUUCGGUUUUGCCUUUGCUGGAUACUGAUCUGAUCGUCGCAAGUCUGGUGACCUGCUGCAGAAGAUCCUCUCUCUCUCUAUCAUUAUAAGCAAUUCUGUCUAUCCUAUCACUCUCCCAACUCUAUCUAAUUUGAAAGCCAUUCUAUCUUGUAUCCCUCUAUCUCUACC